UUGAAGCCGAUAACACACUGUGUAUUAACCCAACUACUGCCCCUCCCACUAGUUUGGCCUAUUUACCACUAAUAGUUGGUGUAUCCUCAGCCCUGGUCAUUGUCUUGGUUGUGGUCUUAUCAGUCAUCUGGGCUCAGAGGAAAAAGCAAAGAAACAACAAACCUAAAGAUGUAGAAAUUGACCAGGAAUUAACCUACGCUAAUGUUAGUGCAAUGCAGCAGCAGGCUGAGCAAAGGCCGAAUGUGGAGGGGAAAUAUGGUCAAGUCAAGUUUUCAGCACGACCCCAGAAGACUGAACCAACAGAAGAUGAUUGUGUGUAUGCAAAUGUAUAAAAUAAGAUGUAUAAAUAAAAUUAAAUAAAAUGAAACAGAGACAGAGGCCUCCACCACAUAAAGAGACCAGACAUGUAUUUAUUUGAGCUGUAGGAGGAAGCUGGGCCACCUGGAUAAGAUUGAUUUGUUUUAUUUUGAAUUUUUAAUUAUUGAGUUACCCUUAUAAUCAAACAUAAUACCUUUAAUGACUGCUGAACAUUACUUUGACUUUGAAUAAAACAUCUUGGCUCCUGUUAGACCAGGGCUGGCCAACCCGCGGCUCCCAAGCUGCGUGCGGCUCUUUGCCCGGUUCCAUGUGGCUCUUACGUUCAUAUCAAAGUUUCGCUUCGCUUGAGUUCAAUACGGUAUUUUCGUCCAACGUGCAUGUGCGUUGGAUGAAAAUACCUCAAAGUUUCCCAGUAGGAGCAAGAUCAUUUUGUGUCAAGUUCGCUCUCAAAAUGGCAGGGAAAAAUGCACAGCAAAACAAAAAUAUGAAGAUGAACACAGGACGUUUUUAACAAAGUGGGAGAGUUUAUAUUUUUUUGUUUAACGUAAUGGCAAACCACUCUGCCUUAUGUCAGGGGUCAUUAGCGCAUUUCAAAACUUUAAAUCUUCAACGUCACUUCAGCUCACUAAGUAAGUAGUAAGUAACAUGCAUAGUAAAAGAAAACAGCUAUUGUAAAUUAUAAUAAUUUUGUUUGUGGACUUGGUUAAACUGAGAGUUUGUCUGUGUGAGACAGUGCACACAAUGUACAUUGCUGAAAAUCACUGGCCUCUCUUUGUACUGUAGGGGCCAAUUUCUGUCAUUAUCAUGUUGGUGUGUGACAUUUACAAUAAAUCUGGCUGAGCAAA